rnacentral:rRNA from 1 species
ACUCCUACGGGAGGCAGCAGUGGGGAAUCUUGGACAAUGGGCGCAAGCCUGAUCUAGCCAUGCCGCGUGAGCGAUGAAGGCCUUAGGGUUGUAAAGCUCUUUCAGCUGGGAAGAUAAUGACGGUACCAGCAGAAGAAGCCCCGGCUAACUCCGUGCCAGCAGCCGCGGUAAU